rnacentral:rRNA from 1 species
AUUGAACGCUGGCGGCAGGCCUAACACAUGCAAGUCGAACGAGUGGCGGACGGGUGAGUAAUGUCUGGGAAACUGCCUGAUGGAGGGGGAUAACUACUGGAAACGGUAGCUAAUACCGCAUACCAUCGGAUGUGCCCAGCUGGGAUUAGCUAGUAGGGGGGGUAAAGGCUCACCUAGGCGACGUUCCCUAGCUGGUCUGAGAGGAGUACCAGCAAAACUGGAACGGAGACACGGUUCAGACUCCGACGGGAGGCAGCAGUGGUGAAGUUUGGAAAAUGGGCGCAAGCCUGAUGCAGCCAUGCCGCGUGGAAGAAGAAGGCCUUCGGGUUGUAAAGUACUUUCAGCGGGGAGGCGUUACCCGCAGAAGAAGCACCGGCUAACUCCGUGCCAGCAGCCGCGGUAAUUC